AGUGAACGCUGGCGGCGUGCCUAAUACAUGCAAGUCGAACGGAGUGGCGCAAGGGUGAGUAAUAUAUAGCUAACUUGCCCAUUACCAAGGGCCAACAGUUGGAAACGACUGCUAAUACCUUAAAGUAAUGGAUAGGGCUAUAUCGUAUCAGCUAGUUGGUAAGGUAACGGCUUAUCAAGGCUAUGACGCGUAACUGGUCUGAGAGGAGGAUCAGGCACACUGGAACUGAGACACGGUGCGGACUCCUACGGGAGGCAACAGUAGGGAAGAUUGCUCAAUGGGGGAAACCCUGAAGCAGCAACGCCGCGUGGAGGAUGACACUUUUCGGAGCGUAAACUCCUUUUAUAGGGAAAGCGGUAGCCAAGGAGUAAGCACCGGCUAACUCCGUGCCAGCCGCCGCGGUAAUAC
rnacentral:rRNA from 1 species